AUUAAUAUUGUUUAAAUUGUUAUAAAUUUUGUUUUGAAUUUGUUUUAUUAUGAAAAAUGUGUUAAUAAAAAUAAUUUUAAAAGAAAUUGGAAAUAUAUAUAUCAGUUGAAGGUGCUUUCAAUAAGGUGCUGGGCUAAGUAUUGUGAGUUACAGGUAUAUUGAUGGGUGAAAUCAGUAUAAAUAUUACCAAUUAAAUUUAUUUUGAUAAAACAUUCAGAUUGCAUGUAGACCAGAAGACUUAAACCGAAGAUAC